GGAAGCUCGAUAUUUGACUUAAUAACUCAUUUAAAUAUGGAUAUUUUUUUACACAAACGCAUCGCUUCGCUUCAGAAGGCCUUUAUUAACACUCCGGAGCCGUGUGGAGUACAUAUUUAUGAUGGAUGGAUGUGGAUAGAAGCACUUUGUUCAGCUCAUACUCAUUGAACCCUAUCACUGUAAAGGUUGGGCUAAUUUUCAUUUCAAAGUGAACUAAUCCUUUAAUAUAACUCUGAUUGUGUUCAUCAGAAAGAAGCAAGUUAUAUACACCUAGGAUGAGGGUAAAAAAAACUUGGGGUAAUUUUCAUUUUAAAGUGAACUAAUACUUUAACUGUCACCUUCUUGCCAGAGGGACGUUUGGCGCUGUUUUUAUUUUUAUUUUUAUUUUUUUUUGUAUCACAAAUUUUAGUAAUCAUCAUGAAUUAGAUAUCAUUCAAAAGCUUAAAAAUUCAUCCUGUGUAAAAUAUUUUGAAAUUGGACAUUGCUUUACCAUGAAAACGGUACUUUAAAUCCUUUUAGCGGCCCCUCCCCCUAGUGGGUGUUGUCAUGUUUCAUUUUACAAAAUUUAUUUGAACUACUUUAUAAAAUAUAAAGUAUAUUAAACUACGGAGCCCCGGACAUGACAUGUUUUAGGAUGAGGGUUCCCUCGAUUUAUAAAUCAUGUGCAUGAUUUAUAAAUCGAGGGAACGAAUUAGUAAAUCGUGCGCACGAUUUUUUUUUUUUCUUGCAUGUCAUGUGCGGGGCUCCGUACAAAAUGGAAAGGUCUGAAUCUCAACCUUUCAUAUUUGGCAUCUGUUUUGUGAUAAAAGUGAUAUUUAGACAGAAAUGUAUUUAUUUGUUACAGGACAAUGCAUAAAAAAAAUAAAUAAAAAAAAUUCAAUGGAAUGUGGAUGACACCCGGUGGCUAUUUUUGGUACAACACAAACAAAAUCUAAUGGGAACUUCAAUUUUUGUGAUAUCAACUACAUAUUUGUAAUACAUCUUGGUUAGACAUAUGGCUUUGAUUUUAUAUAAAUCUUAGAGAAAAAAAUAUUUUGUAAAAUAUAUAUUUUAUAUAAAAUAAUUUUUUUUUAGUACAAGUACAUUUGAUUUACAGUCAUUUAAAACUUAUAUAACUUUUUCAUACUUUCACUUUUUGAAGUGCAACAGUCUGCUGAGUGUCUUCUUUAAAACAAGACCAAACUUAGGGGUUAAAUAAUUAAAAAAAAACAAUAAAAAAUUUAUGUCAGAAAGAUAUUCAGUUCUGCUGCUGUUUAUAAAUACCAGUAGUGAUGUUGUACGAUGAGGAUGUUGCCAUGUUGCCGGAAAUAGAGUCAUCAGUGUCCUAAUGUAUAGCCAGGGUCCUUACUGUCCUUACCAGUGCCCCAAUUUGUGUACAUGAUAUACUGAUUCACGACCUCGGAAGAUAGGGAGCUGAUUGAGACGCACCUGAAAUCUGUUAACAUCCAGUUUGAGCAACAGUUCUUUAAUUAUCUAGGCUGAUUUAAUUAAUAAAUACGCUAAAUAAAAAUGAUGUAGUCUAAACCCUAAAUUUUAAUAUUCUUAAUGUAUGCUGCAUUGCCAGUGAGUAAUAAUAUCAGACAGACAAACAUGAGUCAUUUGAUCUAAAUGGUCCACUUUAUUAUUAUUCUACAACAUGGAGAAAGAAUCUGUGGGACAAAUGCAAGAGACAAGUGUUUGGGACAUGUGUACGACUCCAGUCCCAAGUCUGAUUGGUGUCUUGGGGGCUCCAUAAAAGGAGAGAGUAAAACAGGCUCCUGGGAAGAAAAGAAACGCCACAGUGUCAAUACUGAAGAGCUGAAGAACACCAUCAUCGUGAAAGAUCAGAGGAUGACUGUGAAGGAAUGAGAGUUUUGGAGGUAUUUCUGUAGAUUUGGAAAGUUUCAAUACAGAGACAGAUUGUCUGUAUUUUUUUGGCCCGGAUCAGGCUGGUUGUUCUCGUCUCAGAUCCAUGAGCCCCUUCUUUUCAUGUUGCCAUGGGCAACUACAACGCCGCACUUAUUGCUGAUGUUGAAGAAUUCAAGUCCAUUGUGUCAACGCUAGAGAACCAGCGUACUCUGACUGAACACAACAGACUGGAGAACACACUCUCAGUUAAUCAUGUCAGCUGUCGAGGAACAAGCAGGACAGGAAAUGAAUGAAGUGAAUCAGGAACCAGACUUGCUCGCCCUCAAGUUUCUUUAUAGUAACACAGAUGAACCCAAAGACACCAAAGAGCCCGUCAGCAACUGUACCUCUGCUCCUGCACCAGCGGUUUCCUCUUCUUCAUCUUCUGGCGCAGCAAGCAUGACCCCGCUCCCUGCGUAUCUCUCAGCAUUAUUAGCAGCUAAACCCCGACCGGCCCUGCAGGGCCCCGCCACCUUGGAGCAGAUGAGAGCAGAGCUCCGAGAUCUUCGAGAUGAACUGGAUACGCUGAAGACUCAGCAGAAAAAAGAGAUCAGACUGCUCAUGAACGAACUGGACGAAGAAAAGAAGAUGCGUUUGUCACUGCAAAUUGAAGUAGAACGCCUUAAGAAACACAUGUCCAAGUGAGCCAACUCUGAGGUAUCCAUCACCUGGUCGAAGCGGUCAAAUCACACAGAUACGCCACCGUGAGUCGGAAUUGGCAAACUCAAAGAGUGGAAAUGAAAAUCUUUCAGAGACUGAGGAAGAACUCUUGAGAAUUUGUAUCAAGAUUCAUUGUGAAAACAUAUUGUGUUAAUGCUUUACACCGCCACUUUAUACAUGGGUAAUAUAAAAGAAUGUUUUGGGUUUUAAAUCCCUGAAGAUAACUGGAAAGAGACAAUGUAUAUAUAGUAGUCAACAUUUGAAGUGGAUCAAAAAAGUUAAUCAAGGUUGUCCUAAGAAGAAGGUUUUAGGACAACUUUGAUGAAAGGUUUUGAUCCACAUCAAAUGUUGACUACUGUAGUUUCAAUCAAUUAAAAUCAAUACAUUACAUGCUGGGAUGUCAGAUUAAUGUUAGAUCUUUCAGUUAAUUCUUUAUAUAUAACAAAGUCUUCCCAUUUCGUGCAGAGGAUUCUAAAGCUUUAAAGGGAUAGUUCACCCAAAAAUGAAAAUUCUGUCAUCAUUUACUCACCCUCAAGUUGUUCCAAACCUGUAUAAAUUUCUUUGUUCUGCUGAACACAAAGGAAGAUAUUUUGAAGAAAGUUUGUAACUAGGCCACUUUGGGGC